rnacentral:rRNA from 1 species
ACUCAAAGGAAUAGACGGGGGCCUGCACAAGCGGUGGAGUAUGUGGCUCAAUUCGAUGCAACGCGAAGAACCUUACCUGGCCUUGACAUGCACGUAGUAGGAGGAUGAAAGUCCGACGAGGUAGCAAUACCAGCGUGCACAGGUGCUGCAUGGCUGUCGUCAGCUCGUGUCGUGAGAUGUUGGGUUAAGUCCCGCAACGAGCGCAACCCUUGUGUCCUGUUGCCACCUGGUCGAAAGACCGGAGCACUCUGGACAGACUGCCUCGCUUAAACGAGGAGGAAGGUGGGGAUGACGUCAAGUCAGUAUGGCCCUUACGGCCAGGGCUGCACACGUACUACAAUGGCUGGCACAAAGGGAAGCAAGACCGUCAGGUGGAGCAAAUCCCCAAAAACCAGCCCCAGUUCAGAUUGUCGUCUGCAACUCGACGGCAUGAAGUUGGAAUCGCUAGUAAUGGCGCAUCAGCUACGGCGCCGUGAAUACGUUCCCAGGCCUUGUACACACCGCCCGU